GUCUGGUAGAGCGGUCUCAAUUGUAUAAAGAUCCAUUCGCAUUGGUCGGAAGACUACAGUAUUUGAGUCGUACAGGUCCCGUUGAAUAGUACGUUUUUUUUGUAGCGGUGUGAGAACAUUUUAAGAUGGUGAAAUUGUCCAUUGUACUUUUCUUGGUGGUUGCUCUGAUGUGUUGUAUGGGAAUGGCCAAACCCCAUCAUCGUGGAGGUGCAGUCAUCGUCGGUGGAGCACCGGUUAUUGUGCGACCUGCAAUCCGGAGAGCACCUGUUUUGGUGCGACAGCCAGUUGUUGUGCGACCUAUAAUUGAACGAACUGUUAUUAAACCAACGGUCAUUCUAGGAUGAACUUAAACAUUUUGGCAAAUAAACAUCUUCGCAAAAAAAUAACAUGAUUUGCUUGAUUUUUGCUUUCACCGUAACAGUGCUAAUCACAUCUAUCAACAAUCACUAUUGCUGUUAGACAAUAUAAAAGACCUUCCAACAUCUAAGAAAUUAUUUAGUGUCUUCCAGCUAACUGUCGAGUCGUCAGCUAAAAAUGAAGUUCAUAACCGUUUUACUACUGGUUUGCAUCGCCGUCGCAACAGUUCUUGCCCAUCCGGGUGGAGAUCGCCGAGGCCCCGGAGAUAGGCCAGGUUCCCAGGCACCGGUCGUUGUAGUGACAAACCCUGGAAAGAAAACUGGACCGACGGUUGUUGUAGUGCAGUCGAACAACAAACCGGGACAAAACAACAGACCCGAUCAAAACCGACGCCCUGGAAAUGGACCCGGUCCUGCUGUUGUGGUCGUGAAGGAUGGCGGUAAUGGUGGUCACCGUCAUUGAGUUUCCUCUGUUUGUUUCUGAUGAACUGAUGAACUUCAAAGACUAUGAUUGUUAAGUGUCAAAAUAAAAAACUAUUUUCAUCAUCA